UGAGGAAUAUUGGUCAAUGGGCGUAAGCCUGAACCAGCCAAGUAGCGUGAGGGAAGACUGCCCUAUGGGUUGUAAACCUCUUUUGUGCGGGGAUAAAGUGUGGGACGUGUCCCAUAUUGCAGGUACCGCACGAAUAAGGACCGGCUAAUUCCGUGCCAGCAGCCGCGGUAAUACGGAAGGUCCGGGCGUUAUCCGGAUUUAUUGGGUUUAAAGGGAGCGCAGGCCGUCCUUUAAGCGUGCUGUGAAAUGCCGCGGCUCAACCGUGGCACUGCAGCGCGAACUGGAGGACUUGAGUACGCACGAGGUAGGCGGAAUUCGUGGUGUAGCGGUGAAAUGCUUAGAUAUCACGAAGAACUCCGAUUGCGAAGGCAGCUUACCGGAGCGCAACUGACGCUGAGGCUCGAAAGCGCGGGUAUCGAACAGGAUUAGAUACCCUGGUAGUCCGCGCGGUAAACGAUGGAUGCCCGCCGUUGGGAUUUAGAUUUCAGCGGCCAAGCGAAAGCGUUAAGCAUCCCACCUGGGGAGUACGCCGGCAACGGUGAAACUCAAAGGAAUUGACGGGGGCCCGCACAAGCGGAGGAACAUGUGGUUUAAUUCGAUGAUACGCGAGGAACCUUACCCGGGCUUGAAUUGCAGGAGAACGAUCCAGAGAUGGUGAGGCCCUUCGGGGCUCCUGUGAAGGUGCUGCAUGGUUGUCGUCAGCUCGUGCCGUGAGGUGUCGGCUCAAGUGCCAUAACGAGCGCAACCCCUGUCCAUAGUUGCCAUCAGGUCGUGCUGGGCACUCUGUGGAGACUGCCGCCGUAAGGUGUGAGGAAGGUGGGGAUGACGUCAAAUCAGCACGGCCCUUACGUCCGGGGCUACACACGUGUUACAAUGGGGCAUACAGCGAGUUGGAUGUGCGCAAGUACGUCCGGAUCAAUAAAGUGCCUCUCAGUUCGGACUGGGGUCUGCAACCCGACCCCACGAAGCUGGAUUCGCUAGUAAUCGCGCAUCAGCCAUGGCGCGGUGACUACGUUCCC
rnacentral:rRNA from 1 species